GCCCAACAAUGGCGGAGAAGGUGUUUGGCAUGUGGGCGAGCCCGAUGGCCAUCCGGGUUGAGCCGGCAACAUUUGUGACUAGGUUUGCAGGAAACAUCAAUUCAUUAAUCUGUUGCAUAAAACACCUUAUUAGCAGUAAAUUUGUUGCAAAAAGCACUGAUUGAAUGAUUUGACUCAUUUAAUCACUUUCUGACAAGUGGGGCCUAACUGUCAAGAGCUGACUUGGGAAACAAAUGUUAUACACACCCCUAAAUCUAAAAAUAAAAAGCAAUCAACCCCUUUGCAACCGCUGCCUGCCCUCGCAACAAACCACGCCACCGCCGCCGGAAGCCCACCCGCCUCCCUGCCUCGAUGACCGCAGCCCCGCUCGAUUGGAUCGAGAGGAGCUCCUCGAUCUAGAGCCUCCCCUCGUCCUUGGGCCUUCCGGCUACCAGCGAACGCCGCCGGCGAACCAACCCGGCGCACCCGCCGCCCCUCUGCCCUGCUCCUUCUCCAUCCUCCUUCUCUUCUCCCUGUGCCCUCUCUGACACAGCCGCCGGUUUCCGCAGGACCUCCAUGGAGAUCGCCCGAUUUGCUACAAAUCGCUAUGGCCGCCUCCCCAACAACUCGCCGUUGGAUCCGAGCAUGCCCGAUCUGGAGCACCUCUCCUGAUCUCCCUCGCGCCCGACCCCGCCUAGAUCCGGAGCCUCGCCGCCGGACCCCCUCCUCUGCGCCCCAUUCCAGCCGCUGUCGGCCAUGGCAGGAGCCACGCCGCCGCAUACUGAAACGGACGCUCCGCUGUCACCAUCCUGCCUUGCGCCGUCGUCGUCUGCACUUCGUUGUCCCCAUCAUCAACGCCAUCAACACCGGCCUGGACGCCGCCGAUCGCUGCAGCAUCGGCAAGCCAACCUAAAAAAUGAGCACACUCCGGCCACCUCCUCGUCCCUCGUCGCGGCCAUAGCCAGGCAACAAGGACGACAACGGCGCCAGGGCGCCGCGUGCCGGACGAGUUCACGCUGCUUCGGCAGGAGGGAUUGUGCACGGUGGUGUGCGUGUGGGGGGUCUGAUUGCUUUUGUUUUUUUAAUCUAGGGGUGUAUGUGUUAUUUUUUUGCUAAGUUAAUUCCUUACAAUCUGGCCCCACUUGUAAGAAAGUGAUUAAACGAGUGAAAUCAUUCAAUCAGUGCUUUUUGCAAC
rnacentral:rRNA from 1 species